UAUCUCUAAAGCAAAACCUAUUCUUAAACUAAGAAUGCUUUUUCUUCUUAAAGUACUAGGACAUUUCCAUAAGUUCUGGGUCUUUAUUCAGUUAGUUAACAUUAUUACCUUGUUCCCUCAACCAUGAACAUCUUGUGACCAAGAGUGCCCAACCCUCGGGGAAUGUAACCCAGCAGGUUUGGCUUUUUCUGGCCUUUAUUUUUUUUGCGACAGAGUCUCGCUUCGUCAUCCAGGCUGGAUGCAAUGGCGCAAUCUCUGCUCACUGCAACCUCUGCCUCCCAGGUUCAAACGAUUCUCCUGCCUCAGCCUCCCGAGUAGCUGGGAUUACAGGCGUGCGCCACCAUGCCUGGCUAAUUUUUGUAUUUUUUAGUAGAGACGGGGUUUCACCAUGUUGGCCAGGCUGGUCUUGAACUCCUGACCUCAGGUGAUCUGCCUGCCUCGGCCUCCCAAAGUGCUGGGAUUACAGGCGUGAGCCAC
ensembl:lncRNA novel transcript